rnacentral:rRNA from 1 species
AUUCCUACGGGAGGCAGCAGUGGGGAAUCUUGGACAAUGGGCGCAAGCCUGAUCCAGCCAUGCCGCGUGAGUGAUGAAGGCCUUAGGGUCGUAAAGCUCUUUCGCCAGAGAUGAUAAUGACAGUAUCUGGUAAAGAAACCCCGGCUAACUCCGUGCCAGCAGCCGCGGUAAUACGGAGGGGGUUAGCGUUGUUCGGAAUUACUGGGCGUAAAGCGUACGUAGGCGGAUUAGUCAGUUAGAGGUGAAAUCCCGGGGCUCAACCCCGGAACUGCCUUUAAUACUGCUAGUCUUGAGUUCGAGAGAGGUGAGUGGAAUUCCGAGUGUAGAGGUGAAAUUCGUAGAUAUUCGGAGGAACACCAGUGGCGAAGGCGGCUCACUGGCUCGAUACUGACGCUGAGGUACGAAAGUGUGGGGAGCAAACAGGAUUAGAUACCCUGGUAGUCCACACCGUAAACGAUGAAUGCCAGUCGUCGGGUAGCAUGCUAUUCGGUGACACACCUAACGGAUUAAGCAUUCCGCCUGGGGAGUACGGUCGCAAGAUUAAAACUCAAAGGAAUUGACGGAAU